rnacentral:rRNA from 1 species
GACGAACGCUGGCGGCGUGCUUAACACAUGCAAGUCGAACGGAAAGGGCCUGCUUUGGUGGGGUGCUCGAGUGGCGAACGGGUGAGUAACACGUGAGUAACCUGCCCUUGACUUUGGGAUAACUGCAGGAAACGGGGGCUAAUACCGGAUAGGAGCUCCUGCUGCAUGGUGGGGGUUGGAAAGGUUCGGCGGUUGGGGAUGGACUCGCGGCUUAUCAGCUUGUUGGUGGGGUAGUGGCUUACCAAGGCAUUGACGGGUAGCCGGCCUGAGAGGGUGACCGGCCACACUGGGACUGAGAUACGGCCCAGACUCCUACGGGAGGCAGCAGUGGGGAAUAUUGCACAAUGGGCGGAAGCCUGAUGCAGCAACGCCGCGUGCGGGAUGACGGCCUUCGGGUUGUAAACCGCUUUCACCUGUGACGAAGCGAGAGUGACGGUACUUGCUAAAGAAGCACCGGCUAACUACGUG